AUUGAACGCUGGCGGCAUGCCUUACACAUGCAAGUCGAACGGCAGCACGGACUUCGGUCUGGUUGCGAGUGGCGAACGGGUGAGUAAUGUAUCGGAACGUACCUUUCAGUGGGGUAUAACGUAUCGAAAGUUACGCUAAUACCGCAUAUUCUGUGAGCAGGAAAGCAGGUGAUCGAAGGACCUUGCGCUGAUUGAGCGGCCGAUAUCAGAUUAGCUAGUUGGUGGGUUAAAGGCCUACCAAGGCGACUAUCUGUAGCUGGUCUGAGAGGAUGGUCCGCCACACUGGAAGGGAGACACGGUCCAGACUACUACGGGAGGGAGCAGUGGGGAAUGUUGGACAAUGGGGGCAACCCUGAUACAGCCAUGCGGAGUGAGUGAAGAAGGCCUUCGGGUUGUAAAGCUCGUUCGGCCGGGAAGAAAUGGUAUAGGCUAAUACCCUGUGUGGAUGACGGUACCGGAAUAAGAAGCACCGGCUAACUACGUG
rnacentral:rRNA from 1 species